GACGAACGCUGGCGGCGUGCCUAAUACAUGCAAGUAGAACGCACAGUUUAUACCGUAGCUUGCUACACCAUAAACUGUGAGUUGCGAACGGGUGAGUAACGCGUAGGUAACCUGCCUGGUAGCGGGGGAUAACUAUUGGAAACGAUAGCUAAUACCGCAUAAUAUUGAUUAUUGCAUGAUAAUUGAUUGAAAGAUGCUAUUGCAUCACUACCAGAUGGACCUGCGUUGUAUUAGCUAGUAGGUGAGGUAACGGCUCACCUAGGCGACGAUACAUAGCCGACCUGGGAGGGUGAUCGGCCACACUGGGACUGAGACACGGCCCAGACUCCUACGGGAGGCAGCAGUAGGGAAUCUUCGGCAAUGGACGAAAGUCUGACCGAGCAACGCCGCGUGAGUGAAGAAGGUUUUCGGAUCGUAAAGCCCUGUUGUAAGAGAAGAACGGGUGUGAGAGUGGAAAGUUCACACUGUGACGGUAUCUUACCAGAAAGGGACGGCUAACUACGUG
rnacentral:rRNA from 1 species